rnacentral:lncRNA from 1 species
AGAAUAAAAAAGAAAAUAUACCGAUAAAUAGUACCUCAUGUUCCAAGAGAAGUAAAAACUUCUAAAUUUAGCAAGCUUGCUAAGAAUCAAUACAACCUGCAAAAUAUUAUAAAAUUUUUGUUCAAACUUAUAUCGCAUUAGUACAAUAUCAUUCAAACAACAAUUUCUAAUUUAAAUAAUACAUUUGCUACUGAAAUUUCUUCAUGCUUGUAAAUAUCAAUAUUAAUCCAAUUUCAAGAAGCUGAAUCUCCCAUCUAUUACCCUUGUCUUCAGCUUACAUGGCUUGUGAGUUGUACAUUAUGAAAAUUCACUCAACAUUUUCAAACCACACCCUAUGCCUUACAUUUAUAGUAAGUUCUAUAUUACAAAAUUUUCACUUGGCACAACCCAUAUAAAGACAUAAAAAGAAAUAUCAAUACAUAUUCAAAAGGGUGCCCCAAGUGUAAAAUUAUCUCUCAACAAAAGUACAAAAUAAACUAGAAUAUUAAAUACAAUAUAACAAAUACACUAAAUAGAUACACGAAAAAACUCAUUUAAAAUUCAUAUCACAGUAAGUAAGUAGGACAUCAACUAAUAACGAAACAUAAUAACAAAACAUCCAAACAUAUAUAACAAAAUAAAAAAACAACAAAAAAAAAUUACAAUCACAUUCAUCAACGAAACAUCACAUUCACAAACAAAAUCAGCAUUCAUCAAAAAAAAUUACAAUAUUCCAACAAAACAUUACAUUCAAAACAAAUAUUACAAUAUUCCGAAAAAAUAUCACACAAUAAAAAAAAUAACACAUAUAUAACACAUUCGUCAAGCAAGACCAAUACAAAAAAUUAUAAUAUUCCAAUUAAAGUUUAAUAACUAUCGGUAAACAUAUAUAACACAUUUUAUAUAAUAUAUAUUUAUAUAGUAUAUAUAUAUAUAUAUAUAUAUAUAUAUAUAAUUUAAUAUAAUGUGUAUCUAUACAUACAUAUGUAUAUUACGUAUAUAAUCUAUCACAAAAUCCAAAUCCCACUACAUUAUUACUACCUCCCUUUUCUCUUCAAGAAAGGCUGCUACUUUUGUCAAACAUAUCUUCUCAAACAAAGAAUUGAAGUUAGAAAGAAAUAAGAAUAAAAAAGAAAAUAUACCAAUAAAUAGUAUCUCAUGUUCCAAGAGAAGUAAAAACUUCUAAAUUUAGCAAGCUUGCUGAGAAUCAAUACAACCCGCAAAAUAUUAUAAAAAAUUUGUUCAAACUUAUAGCGCAUUAGUACAAUAUCAUUCAAACAACAUUUUCUAAUUUAAAUAAUACAUUUGCUACUGAAAUUUCUUCAUGCUUGUAAAUAUCAAUAUUGAUCCAAUUUCAAGAAGCUGAAUUUCCCAUCUUUUAUCCUCGCCUUCAUUUUACAUGGCUUGUGAGUUGUACAUUACAAAAAUUCACUCAACCUUUCCGAACCACACUCUAUGCCUUACAUUUAUAGUAAGAUCUACAUUACAAAAUUUUCACUUGGUACAACCCAUAUAGAGACAUGCAAAGAAAUAUCAAUACAUAUUACAAAAGGGUGGCCCAAGUGGAAAAUUAUCUCUCAACAAAAGUACAAAAUAAACAAGAAUAUUAAAUGCAAAAUAUAACAAAUACUCUAAAUAGAUACACGAAAAAAUUCAUUCAAAAUUCAUAUCACAAUAAGUAGGGCAUCAACCACCAACGAAACAUAAUAACAAAAUAUCCAAACAUAUAUAACAAAAUAAAAAAAUAACACAAAAAAAAUUACAAUCACAUUCAUCAACGAAACAUCACAUUCACAAACAAAAUCAACAUUCAUCAAAAAAAAUUACAAUAUUCCAACAAAACAUUACAUUCAAAACAAAUAUUACAAUAUUCCGAAAAAACAUCACAAUAACAAAAAAAAUAACACAUAUAUAACACAUUCAUAGAGCAAGACCAAUACAAAAAAUUACAAUAUUCCAAAUAAAGUUUAAUAACUAUCGGUAAACAUAUAUAACACAUUUUAUAUAAUGUAUAUUUAUAUAAUAUAUAUAUAUAAUAUAAUGUGUAUUUAUACAUACAUAUGUAUAUUACGUAUAUUAUAUAAUAUAUAACAUAAUACUUAUUCAGAUAUACAUGUAUACAUACACAUGUAUAUUAUGUAUAUUACAUAAUAAUAUAAUAUAAUUAUAUCACUAUCCUAAAUAUUUAGAACCUAUAAAACGAGCCAUCUUCUACGCCUAUACCUACUUACGGCUCUUUUUCUACCUAAAUCUAUCACAAAAUUCAAAUUCCACUACAUUCUUACUACCUCCCUUUUCUCUUCAAGAAAGGCUGCUACUUUUGUCAAACCUGUGUUCUCAAACAAAAAUUGAAGUUAGAAAGAAAUAAGAAUAAAAAAAAAAAUAUACUGAUAAAUAGUACCUCAUGUUCCAAGAGAAGUAAAAACUUCUAAAUUUAGCAAGCUUGCUAAGAAUCAAUACAACCUGCAAAAUAUUAUAAAAUUUUUGUUCAAACUUAUAGCGCAUUAGUACAAUAUCAUUCAAACAACAUUUUCUAAUUUAAAUAAUACCUUUGCUACUGAAAUUUCUUUAUGCUUGUAAAUAUCAAUAUUAAUCCAAUUUCAAGAAGCCGAAUCUCCCAUCUAUUACCCUCGUCUUCAGCUUACAUGGCUUGUGAGUUGUACAUUAUGAAAAUUCACUCAACAUUUUCAAACCACACCCUAUGCCUUACAUUUAUAGUAAGUUCUAUAUUACAAAAUUUUCACUUGGCACAACCCAUAUAAAGACAUAAAAAGAAAUAUCAAUACAUAUUCAAAAGGGUGCCCCAAGUGUAAAAUUAUCUCUCAACAAAAGUACAAAAUAAACUAGAAUAUUAAAUNNNNNNNNNNNNNNNNNNNNNNNNNNNNNNNNNNNNNNNNNNNNNNNNNNNNNNNNNNNNNNNNNNNNNNNNNNNNNNNNNNNNNNNNNNNNNNNNNNNNUUCAAGUCAUGACCUUUUGGGAGCCUGUGGUGGGCUAAGAUGACCCAAGAAGAUACUAUUGGGCCAGUAGUUUGAGGCCUUAAUUUGAUGGAUUCGAUUCGGACUUGGAAUUUGACCCAAGAUUUGUCCCGGACUUGGGAUUUGACCCGAGUUGUUUCAUAUGGUAUCAAAGCUGACUCUCGAAAGCUCGGGUCGGGUCAUCUGAUCGAGUUGCCGGAGGUGGGGACACGAAGGCUGGUGGUAUUAUCCCACAAUGGAGAGAUGGAGGUCCGGAGCUGGGGACACGAAGCCAGUCGAUAUUAUCCCAUUAUCCCACAAUGGCUAGGGAGGCAAAGAUCUUUGGGCCGUGUGUGUGAUCGGUUCUGACGAGGACGUCAGAAAUUUAAGUGGGGGAGGUUGUAACACCCCAGUCCCACAUCGAAAGAUAGGGGAAAAAUUUGUCUGCAUAUAAGGAAAUAAGUUACUACCAAUAGUACCUUCAAGUCAUGACCUUUUGGGAGCAUGUGGUGGGCUAAGAUGACCCAAGAAGAUACUAUUGGGCCAGUAGUUUGAGGCCUUAAUUUGAUGGAUUCGAUUCGGACUUGGAAUUUGACCCAAGAUUUGUUCCGGACUUGGGAUUUGACCCGAGUUGUUUCAUAUUAAUGAUGAUAUUGUAAUAAAAUUUUGUAAAUUUAUUUAAAUUGAACGGAGAGAAUCUAAACGAGUCAAAUUUAGAGUAUAAAUUUUGGGUAUUACACUGCUUAAUCCAAGUAUGGAUUCCGUACUAUUUCAGCGAGACUCUUUUAUUUUUAAUUUGUUUGUUUCGUUAUUCGUUUCAAAAUUUAGUUUUGUCUCUCAUAACUGUUCCUUCUUAAAUUCGUGAGAAUGUUUCAUUUUGGCAGUAGUAUUUGAAACUAGUAUUUGUACUCUUUGGUCUAGUGUGUCAUGGUUAAUAUUUAUUUCGAUCUUUGUAGAAAGUACAUGUUAAUAUAUUUGGAGACUUUGUGUUGAUAUUUUAUUUCAGUUUAACAUGUACAUGUUAGAACCCCUUUGUUGUGUCACAUGUGUUGUGACAUUAUAUUUUAUUAGAAUACUGUAGGGUAUACCUGAGCUAUAACCACCUAUGGGGGUACCACAGGCAUGUCCUCUUGGCACCGAGGCAUGACACCUUCCAUGGCGGUGUGAUCAGUCCACGGCGUCUCCAUUUUGUGCUCCGUUGGGAGUUGGCCAUUUGGUAUUUUGUUGUGAGAGGCGUAUGUGUCGACCCUAGUUUUUCUGUUCUGUUCCGCGAAUUGGUGAUGUUUGUGCCAAACACGCCUUCCGAUUUUGCACGCAUCUAGAUUGCGCAGUCCGAUGUGUGAUUGCCUGUGUGGCAUUAUUUGACUUGCAUGUGUGGCAAGGUAUAUUUCUUUUUUGUUCUGAGCUCGGUAUGAAAUAACACCCAACCAUUUGAUUCAGCCUAUUAUUUCGUUGUGUUAGUUUCAGUUCGUUUCGCUUCAUUUCAUUAAAUUGAGUUAGUUACUUCGGUUCAUUAUUUGUAUUCUAUAUUCGUACUGGGCAUUUGGCUCAUGCUGUGUUUUUAUUCCGACAGGUAAUCAGGGGGAUCAAGGGCAAGUGUGAUGAGAGCUCCAUUCAUUCCAAUGAUUUAGAAAUAUUCUGUUUAGACUUGAUGUGUCAGCUUACUUGGAAUUGUAAUAAUUAUUUUAGAUUGUGGUUUGAGACAGUUUGAGAUUUAUUAUGGUUGACUUGUGGUAUUUAUCAGUUAUUAAGACUAUUCUUUUGUGGCUUUGAGCCUUGCUAUUAAAUUCAUCAAUUUUAUUAUGUUUUGAGUAACCUCUCUUUCUAUUUCGGAAAGGGGGUGUUACAAUAAAACAUCCAAACAUAUAUAACAAAAUAAAAAAACAACACCACAAAAAAAUUACAAUGACAUUCAUCAAUGAAUCAUCACAUUCACAAACAAAAUCAACAUUCAUAAAAAAAAUUACAGUAUUCCAACGAAACAUCACGUUCAAAAUAAAUAUUACAAUAUUCUGACGAAACAUCACACAAUAACAAAAAAAAUAACACAUAUAUAUAACACAUUCAUCAAGCAAGACCAAUACAAAAAAUUACAAUAUUCCGAACAAAGUUUAAUAACUAUCUGUAAACAUAUAUAACACAUUUUAUAUAAUAUAAUAAUGUGUAUCUAUACAUACAUAUGUAUAUUACGUAUAUAACAUAAUAUAUAAUAUAAUACAUAAAUAGAUAUACAUGUAUUCAUACACAUGUGUAUACAAUAUAAUACAUAAAUAGAUAUACAUGUAUUCAUACACAUGUGUAUAUAUAAUAUAAUAGAUAUACAUCACAUAGAUAUAUUACAUAAUAAUAUAAUAUAAUUAUAUCACUUUCCUAAAUAUUUAGAACCUAUAAAACUAGCCAUCUGCUACGCCUAUACCAACUUACGGCUCUUUUUCUACCAAAAUCUAUCACAAAAUCCUCCCACUACAUUCUUACUACCUUCCUUUUCUCUCCAAGAAAGGCAACUUUUGUCAAACCUAUGUUCUCAAACAAAAAUUUAAGUUAGAAAGAAAUCAUAAUAAAAAAAAAAUGUACCAAUAAAUAGUACCUCAUGUUCCAAGAGAAGUAAAAACUUCUAUAUUUAGCAAGCUUGCUAAGAAUAAAUACAACCUGCAAAAUAUUACUAAAAUUUUGUUCAAACUUAUAUCGCAUUAGUACAAUAUCAUUCAAACAACAAUUUCUAAUUUAAAUAAUAUAUUUGUUACUGAAAUUUCUUCAUGCUUGUAAAUAUCAAUAUUGAUCCAAUUUCAAGAAGCUGAAUCUCGCAUCUUUUACCCUCGUCUUCAGCUUACAUGGCUUGUGAGUUGUACAUUACAAAAAUUCACUCAACCUUUUCAAACCACACUCUAUGCCUUACAUUUAUAGUAAGUUCUACAUUACAAAAUUUUCACUUGGCACAACCCAUAUAGAGAUAUACAAAGAAAUAUCAAUACAUAUUCAAAAGGGUGUCCCAAGUGUAAAAUUAUCUCUCAAUAAAAGUACAAAAUAAACUAGAAUAUUAAAUACAAAAUAUAACAAAUACACUAAAUAGAUACACGAAAAAACUCAUUCAAAAUGCAUAUCAGAAUAAGUAUGAGGACAUUAACCACCAACGAAACAUAAUAAUAAAACAUCCAAACAUAUAUAACAAAAUAAAAAAAAAUUACAAUGACAUUCAUCAAUAAAACAUCACAUUCACAAACAAAAUCAACAUUCAUCAAAAAAAAUUACAAUAUUCCAACGAAACAUCACAUUCAAAACAAAUAUUACAAUAUUCCGACGAAACAUCACACAAUAACAAAAAAAAUAACACACAUAUAUAACACGUUCAUCAAGCGAGACCAAAACAAAAAAUUACAAUAUUCCAAACAAAGUUUAAUAACUAUCCGUAAACAUAUAUAACACAUUUUAUAUAAUAUAAUAUAUAAUAUAAUACAUAUAUAGAUAUACAUGUAUACAUACACGUGUAUAUUACGUAUAAUACAUAAUAAUAUAAUAUAAUAGAUAUACAUGUAUACAUACAUAUGUAUAUUACAUAAUAAUAUAAUAUAAUAUAAUAUAAUUAUAUCACUUUCUUAAAUAUUCAGAACCUAUAAAACUAGCCAUCUUCUAUGCAUAUACCUACUUACGGCUCUUUUUCUACCCAAAUUUAUAACAAAAUCCAAAUCCCACUACAUUCUUACUACCUCCCUUUUCUCUUCAAGAAAGACAACUUUUGUCAAACCUGUGUUUUCAAACAAAAAUUUUAGUUAGAAAGAAAUAAGAAUAAAAAAAAUAUAUACCGAUAAAUAGUACCUCAUGUUCCAAGAGAAGUAAAAACUUCUAAAUUUAGCAAGCUUGCUAAAAAUCAAUACAACCUGCAAAAUAUUACUAAAAUUUUGUUCAAACUUAUAUCGCAUUAGUACAAUAUCAUUCAAACAACAAUAUCUAAUUUAAAUAAUACAUUUGCUACUGAAAUUUCUUCAUGCUUGUAAAUAUCAAUAUUGAUCCAAUUUCAAAAAGUUGAAUCUCCCAUCUUUUACCCUCGUCUUUAGCUUACAUGACUUGUGAGUUGUACAUUACAAAAAUUCACUCAACCUUUUCAAACCACACUCCAUGCCUUACAUUUAUAGUAAGUUCUACAUUACAAAAACUUCACGUGGCACAACCCAUAUAGAGACGUACAAAGAAAUAUCAAUAUAUAUUCAAAAGGGUGCCCCAAGUGUAAAAUUAUCUCUCAACAAAAGUACAAAAUAAACUAGAAUAUUAAAUACGAUAUAACAAAUAAACUAAAUAGAUACACGAAAAAACUCAUUCAAAAUUCUUAUCACAAUAAGCCUAAUACAUGAUUUUUGAUAGUUUAAUCAAUAACCACCAACACGAAGCAUCACAUUCAAGCAAGACCAAUAAAAAAAAUUACAAUAUUCCAAACAAAGUUUAGAAUUACACGACUCAUACCAUAAACCAAUCCGAAAACAUAUGUAACAUAUUUUAUAUAAUAUAUAAUAUAAUGUGUAUCUAUACAUACAUAUGUAUAUUAUAUUACGUAUAUAAUAUAAUAAUACAUAAUAAUAUAAUAUAAUAUAAUAUAAUUAUAUCACUUUCCUAAAUAUUUAGAACCUAUAAAACUAGCCAUCUUCUACGCCUAUACCUACUUACGGAUCUUUUUCUACCCAAAUCUAUCACAAAAUCCAAAUCCCACUACAUUCCUUACUACCUCCCUUUUCUUUUCAAGAAAAGCAGCUACUUUUGUCAAACCCGUAUUCUCUAAUAAAAAUUUAAGUUAAGACCGAUAAAUAGUACCUCCCAUUCCAAGAAAAGUAAAGACUUUUAAAUUGAGCAAGCUUACAGAGAAUCAAUACAACCUGUAAAAUAUUUUUAAAAUCUCGUUCAAACUUAAAUCACAUUAAUACAAUAUCAUUCAAACAUAGCAAACAACAAUUUCUAAUUUUAAUAAUACACUUGCUACAGAAAUUUCUUCAUGCUUGCAAAUACUAAUAUUGAUCCAAUUUCAAGAAGUUGAAUCUCCUAUCUUUUACCUCCAUCUUCAACUUACAUGGUUGUGAGUUGUAAAAAAAAGUUUUUAUUACAAGUUUUAUGUGCUUUGGAUGCAAUUAUAUUAGCAACUUUCUGCAUUUGCUCAUGAAUUGUUUAAUUCAUGUAAUUGUAUGUUUGUCUAAAUCUUCUUUCUAGACUGUAUGUUUAUUUGUGUGUGCAUCUAGACUGUAUGUUUAUUUUUAUACUUGUCAAAUAAAAGUUUUAAUUAACAUAAUGGAUGUUAUACUUUCAUACAUAUAUGUUAUGGUGGUUAUACUUUUAUACUUGCAAUGGGAAUAACUUUAUGAAUGUUAUAUUUUUAUGCUUAUAUGGUAACACAUAGUUAUAAUUUAAUGUGUGUCGACCUUUUAAAUUUUGGUUGUACUACCUUGGNNNNNNNNNNNNNNNNNNNNNNNNNNNNNNNNNNNNNNNNNNNNNNNNNNNNNNNNNNNNNNNNNNNNNNNNNNNNNNNNNNNNNNNNNNNNNNNNNNNNAUAAUAAUAAUAAUAAUAAUAAAAUAAAAAUAAUCACAAUAAUAAUAAAAUAAAAACAGUUUUUUUAUAAAAAAAAGAUUUUUUAAAAAACAGGUUUUUUUAAAAAAACAAGUUUUUUUAAAAAAAACAGAUGUUUAAAAAAACAAUUUUUUAAAAAAGCAGCUCUUUCCAAAAAAAUUGAUUUUUAAAAAAAAGAGAUUUUUUUAAAAAACAGUUUUUUUAUAAAAAAAAACGAUUUUUUUACAAAACAGUUUAUUUUUAAAAAAACAGAUUUUUUUUAAAAAAACAUUUUUAAAAAAAAACAGAUUUUUAAAAAAAAGAUAUUUUACAAAAACAGGUUUUUUUUUAAAAAAACAGAUUUUUAAAAAAACAGUUUUUUAAAAAAACAGUUUUUUUUAAAAACAGUUUUUUUUUAAAAACAGGUUUUUUUAAUAAAACAGAAUUUUUUAAAAUAAAACAGAUUUUUUUAAAAAUUAGUUUUUUUUAAAAAAGCGGUUUUUUUUUAAAAUACACAGAUUUUUUAAAAAAUAAUAAAAUAACAAAAACAGAUUUUAAAAAAUAAAAAAAUAAACAUUUUAAAGUUUUAAAAAUAACAAAAACAUAAUAAAAUAAAACAAAAAAAAAACAGAUUUUUUUUUAAAAAACUAUUUUUUUUAAAAUUCUGUGUUUUAAAAAAAACGUCUUUUUUUAAAAAAAAAUCUGUUUUUUUAAAAAACCUUUUUUUAAAAAAUAUGUUUUAAAAAAAACAGUUUAUGUUUUGUCGUAUUAUAAUAAGGACUCCUUUUGAGUUUGUAUAAUCUCUAGUAUACAAUAUUUGUAUUCGAACUCACAGUUUAUGUUUUGUCGUAUUGUACACGACAGUUGUAUUAUUAAGUUGUAUUUGAAUUUUGUACUAUGUAAGUGACGACCCAAGAUGGGUGACGUAUACCUAAUUUUGGGGGCGUCACACUGACCAUCUUUUGUACUUAGCAGCUUGGUGUGGUCCUCUUUGCAUUCUGCUUUGAGACUGGACCACAUCAUCUUUGGUGCAGCUGAUCUUCUUCCGUUCUGCUCAUCUUUGUAUAUUGUCAGUUGUGCACCAUCACCAUUUCCUGAACCCUUCUUAACAUGUUGGCAGACAUGGUUCUGCACUUGCUCUGCUUCAGCUUUGGGUUCAUGGUGAUUCGUAGAGUGGCUCUUAAGAUCUGCCUUGUGUUUUGCCACUCUUCUGAAUGCUAUCUUCUUUUCCUUCUCGGCUCUUAGCUUAGAUGCCAAUUCAGUGGGCAUUUUUAUCUUUGUUGAGUGAAGCUUUGAUCUGUUCAAGUCCAUCUUCAAAGUUGCUUCACUUUCACCUUCGUAGUCUCACUGUCACUGAGACUUUGUUCUAUUUGAGCUCAGGUGGAACUCGUAGAGUCAACGAUAGCAUUUUCACCAUCUCAACGAUUCUGCAACAUCACAAUCAUCAGCAACUCUUGAUCGUUGAAGCUCUGGCUUAUUUAUACUCCUUCCCAAUCUUUCCGUUGAGAAGUAGCCGUUAGAAGCUCUUUGAAAUGCUUCGCAAAUCUCGAGUUAUUUGGUAUAGACUGCAGAUGUGACAUGUCUUACUUUUCUGACAUUGCAGUCUACUGUUUCACCUACCCCGUCAGAGAUGUCACUUUAAUGUCUUGGGUAGGUCGAAGACUUUAUUUCCUCCUUUUGAUUUCUCGAUCAGAGGUUGUCCUUUUGCAUCGAUGCUCUCAAUAAGUUUUUGUACAAAUAUUAACCUUCAGAUUGAACCGUUGUCAAUGCUUCAAUCUUCAGCCAUUCGUACUCUACGAUUCUGAUGCAUGUCUUCAUGGACCUGAUUGUAGUGUCUUGUUGACUGGUAGAGACAACACUACGAUCUUGAAGAGUGUUGAUUGGAUCUUCAAUGUAGAACACCUCUUCCUUCUUUUGUGCAAUGCUUCAACACUUCUGUUUGCCUCAACAGCUCUCAAAGACUGAUGGAUUGACUUCUUUGUUCUGGCCCCUUCUGAAUAGUAAGACACUUCAGAUUUGUGGCGUGUCCAGCUCGCUUUCUCCUUGUGAUCUCCCAUUCACUUAUCAUCAAUGGACUGACCCAAUGCUUAAUCACUUUAGCCUUGUUCUUCAGAAGCUGUCCAGUGUCUCUGUAUGCACUUCAUCAGUUCUUUCUUUGUUUGGCAAAUACUACGAUCCUGGUUUCUUCCAAGAUCGUCGUCUUAUGUCUAUUUGACAGCAACUGCAUUUGCUGACUUUCCUUAGUCAGUUACUGAAGUCUUCUUCUUAUCUCCUUGUGGAAGACUUCAUCCUGAAUGGCUUCACAACUCAAUCUGGAUGCUGAUUGGGUUGGUGCUUAGAUCUUCUGUUAGCUUGCAUGCCAUUCGUUGAGUGCUCUCUAGUUUCCUUUAUGAUGGGAUGUAUCUUUGCAGUGCCAACCAUAGACUUCAUUCCUUUGGAUAUGUUGGGAGUGCUCAUUUGUUGAGAAUCGUAUUUGCUCUACGAUUCUACCUUGGCAUUGUGAGCACAUCUUUUGAGGUCUUAGUUCUGCACUCUAUAAUUCAUCUUUGGCUGUGCAGACACUACGACUCCGAGAUCAGAUCUUGACACUCUACGAUGUCUGUCGUUGUGCUUGUUGUCUUUAUCUGAUCUUGCUCAACUACGAUCUCUGCCUUUGAUAUGAUCAGUAGACUCUACGACUCUAAGUGUAGUCUACGAUUCUUGACUUGGCUUUGACAGAUACUUGGUUGGCUCGUAGGCAGGCUGUCUUUACGAUUCUGAACAUGACUUCCUCAGCAGACUACGGCCCUGAGGAUGUUCUCCUCGACACACUACGAUCCUUUCUCGUCUCUCCUGGCAGUCUACGAACUCCGAGAUCUACUAUCUUGCAGACUACGAUUCUGCCUCGAUAGCUCUCGAGUUUUCCUUGACUCUCUUGGCAGACUACGAUUUCUGGUGCAAUCAGACAAACCUAUCUAUUACAUCAUAAGAUCAACCUAACAUGCUUGAUCUUUCUAUGUUUAUAGUCCUUGUACAUCAUUUCUUUUUAAGGACUUUACAAAGCUGUUUUGCUUAUGUAGGAUCAACCUAACAUACUUGAUCAAUUCAUUCUAAGUCCUUGUACACAUGUUUCUAUUAUCUAUCAAAGGACUUUACAGCUUUUCUUAAUGCAAGCAUACUUGCAUAUCAUUCAUAUAUAUCAUAAUCAAAUCAUAUGUAACUAGGAAUAACAUUCACAUGCUUAUUCUUGACACAUUUGUAUUAAUGAAGUUUGUAUUUGAUUUAUGUAACAUGUAUUUGGCGACUCAGAAUGAGUUGUGUGUACCUAUUUUGGGGGCGUCACAUUAUACAUAAAAUAAAAUGUGAUUAGAUACAUCAUAGGGCAAAACAAUUCCAUACUUGAAAAAUUCUAUGAAUUUUUUUUAAAAAUAUAAAUUAAUAAGAAUGUAAGUUUUUAAUUAAUUUAUAAUAAUUAUGAUUAAUUAAAUAAUUUCAAAUUAAUUUUAUUUUAUAAAAUUUGGAAAAUUAAUUUUUAACCAUCAUAAUUCACAACCACCUUUUUUAGAGUUAUGUUAAGGUGACCAAAUAUUGUGGCAAAAUAAUGUGUCAAAUAUCUCCAUUCUUUUUUUGUGAUCAAUCUUUUGUCAACAAAAAGUAUUAUUGUCUUUUUAAUGUAGCAUAUGAAAUAUAAUUUAAGGGGCACUUUUUAUUAGGCAAUGUCGUCACAAAUGUUAUUGUGAUUUUAUUUAAUUUUUAUACUUAUUUUAUUUCAAAAUAAUUGUAUUAUCUAAUUUUGAAGGAUUUAAAUUGGGUAGUCUCACGUCCAAACAUGUGAGAAAAAUUUAUCUAUAUAUCAGAUUAUGAUGUUUCGAAGAAUUUAUCUGUAUAUCAAAUUAUGAUUGCGACGUAUUUACAUAUAUGAUAUAUAGGAAUUAAGAAGGGUCCCACUUUAAUUUAUUACANNNNNNNNNNNNNNNNNNNNNNNNNNNNNNNNNNNNNNNNNNNNNNNNNNNNNNNNNNNNNNNNNNNNNNNNNNNNNNNNNNNNNNNNNNNNNNNNNNNNNNNNNNNNNNNNNNNNNNNNNNNNNNNNNNNNNNNNNNNNNNNNNNNNNNNNNNNNNNNNNNNNNNNNNNNNNNNNNNNNNNNNNNNNNNNNNNNNNNNNNNNNNNNNNNNNNNNNNNNNNNNNNNNNNNNNNNNNNNNNNNNNNNNNNNNNNNNNNNNNNNNNNNNNNNNNNNNNNNNNNNNNNNNNNNNNNNNNNNNNNNNNNNNNNNNNNNNNNNNNNNNNNNNNNNNNNNNNNNNNNNNNNNNNNNNNNNNNNNNNNNNNNNNNNNNNNNNNNNNNNNNNNNNNNNNNNNNNNNNNNNNNNNNNNNNNNNNNNNNNNNNNNNNNNNNNNNNNNNNNNNNNNNNNNNNNNNNNNNNNNNNNNNNNNNNNNNNNNNNNNNNNNNNNNNNAAUCAAAUCCAUCAAAAUAAGGCCUCAAACUACUGGCCCAAUAGUAUCUUCUUGGGUCAUCUUAUCCCACCACAGGCUCCCAAAAGGUCAAAACUUGAAGGUACUAUUUGGUAGUAACUUAUUUCCUUAUAUGCAGACAAAUUUUUUCCCUAUCUUUCAAUAUGGGACUGGAGUGUUACAAACUCCUCCACUUAAAUUUCUGACGUCCCCGUCAGAAUCCGAUCACACACACGGCCCAAAGAUCUUUGCCUCUCUAGCCAUUGUGGGAUAAUACCGGCUGGCUUCGUGUCCCCACCUCCGGACCUCCAUCUCUCCAUUGUGGGAUAAUACCACCAGCCUUCGUGUCCCCACCUCCGGCAACCCGACCGGAUGACCCAACCCGAGCUUUCGAGAGUCGGCUCUGAUACCAUAUGAAAUAACCCGUGUCAAAUCCUGAGUCCGGAACAAAUCUCGGGUCAAAUCCCAAGUCUGAAUCGAAUCAAAUCCAUCAAAAUAAGGCCUCAAACUACUGGCCCAAUAGUAUCUUCUUGGGUCAUCUUAGCCCACCACAGGCUCCCAAAAGGUCAUAACUUGAAGGUACUAUUGGUAGUAACUUAUUUCCUUAUAUGCAGACAAAUUUUUUUCCUAUCUUUCGAUAUGGAAUUGGGGUGUUACAAUAUAUAUCUAUAUCAGCUAAUCAGGUUUGAAAUAUAUAUCGUUAAGGAUUUUGUCGUCAAUAUAUUUUUUUUCUUUUUUUUCUUAAUUUAUUUUAUUCUUAAUUAUGACGCCCCCAAAAUAGGUAUACCUCACCCAUCUUGAGUCGCCAAAUACAUGGUACAUAAUUUAAAUACAAACUUCUUUGAUACAGUACGACAAAACGUAGCUGACAGUUUCAACACGGAUAAUGUCUCGUAGAGAGUAUACAAACUCAAAUAAAGUCCUCAUUACAAUUAUUAUCACACUAUUUCACAUAAUAGUGAGGACUACUAUAGCCACCUAUCUGGACCGUCACUCCGUUCCCCAACUAGUCCUAGCUAUAUUCUCAUUUUCUGAAGAGAACAAUGAAAGCAAAGGGUGAGCUCAACUAGCCCAGUAAGAAACAUUAUGACUAAGAUAAUGCAGAAUAAAUUAUCGUUAGCCUUCAACAGUGUUAAACUGAUAAAAUAUAAUAAACAUCAAGUUUAACUGUAACGGAACAAGCAAUCCAUUAGAAGAGUCAAGUAGAGCAUGAUAUCUACUAUCUUCUAUGAUUUAAAAAGUUUAUCAACAGUUUUAUCGCUGAGACUCAGCUUAAUAAAUAAUCCACACCAUCGAAUCAUCCCUACACUACGGCCAAGGAUAUUCAUUAGUAUCACUAAUAGUCAUGAUCAUACCAACAACUGUCCAUCAAUGCACUACGGGCCAAUGAUGACUUUUACCACAUCAUUUGUAACAUUACGGUUCCUGAUUAUACCGAAUAAUCCCUAGUCAUAAUCAUACCAAUCAACAGUCCAUCUAUGCACUACGGCCAAAGAUGAUUUUCAUCACAAUAUAAGUAUGAGGAUGAUGACAAUGAUAUAAGAAUUCAAUUUAAAUGAGAGCAAGGAUAAAUUUUAAAGAUAUAUAAUUCAAUUUAUCCAGAAUUCAAUAAUGUCCAAAUUAUCAACAUGAUACUUGAAACAACUCGGGUCAAAUUCUGAGUCCGGAACAAAUCUUGGGUCAAAUUCCAAGUCUGAAUCAAAUCAAAUCCAUCAAAACCUCAAACUACUGGCCCAAUAGUAUCUUCUUGGGUCAUCUUAGCCCACCACAGGCUCCCAAAAGGUCAUGACUUGAAGGUACUAUUGGUAGUAACUUAUUUCCUUAUAUGCAGACAAAUUUUUCCCCUAUCUUUCGAUGUGGGACUGGGGUGUUACAACCUCCCCCACUUAAAUUUCUGAUGUCCCCGUCAGAACCGAUCACACACACGGCCCAAAGAUCUUUGCCUCCCUAGCCAUUGUGGGAUAAUGGGAUAAUACCGGCUGGCUUCGUGUCCCCACCUCCGGACCUCCAUCUCUCCAUUGUGGGAUAAUACCACCAGCCUUCGUGUCCCCACCUCCGACAACCCGAUCGGAUGACCCGACCCGAGCUUUUUGAGAGUCGGCUUUGAUACCAUAUGAAACAACCCGGGUCAAAUUUCGAGUCCGGAACAAAUCUUGGGUCAAAUCCCAAGUCCGAAUCGAAUCAAAUCCAUCAAAAUAAGGCCUCAAACUAUUGGCCCAAUAGUAUCUUCUUGGGUCAUCUUAGCCCACCACAGGCUCCCAAAAGGUCAUGACUUGAAGGUACUAUUGGUAGUAACUUAUUUCCUUAUAUGCAGACAAAUUUUUCCCCUAUCUUUCGAUGUGGGUCUGGGGUGUUACAAUACUGCUUUGUGGAGUAAAAUUCAAGAAUAAUAUUGUAUCAAAAAUAAUUUAGACAGAAAAAAAAUUAAUUUUUGUCAUGAAUAGUACCCUGGAUGAAUAGUAUCCGAGUGAAUAGUACCCCGUGAAUAGUAUUUCGAGAAUAGUACUCCGGCAUGAAAAAGUUAAAACUUAUCAAGAAUGCUCAGAAUAAUAUUUCUAUGAAAAGAUACUGGAUGAAGUGCAAAUAUCAAGGAUAUUCUACUAAUUUCAUAGAGUAUAGAAGCAAUACUUAUCAACAUAAGUGUAGAAUUAGGAAUAUGAAACGAAAUAAUAUUACUUAAAUACUACAGAGUAUAGAAGAAAAUAUUAUUUCUUACGAAUAUUGAACAAGAAUACUAUCACUUACGAAUACGAAAGAAAUAAUACCUCUUACCUUAGUAGAAGAUUGGAUACUGCAAUAAUGUGGUAACAGAAUACUCUUCUUCUUUCUCUCUUAUUCUCUCUAUACUUUCACUCUCUAUAGCUUGAAUGAAUUGGUGAAAAAUAAUGAAGAAAUGAGCUUCUAUUUAUAGGCUUGGCAGAGUAAAGAUAAAAUAGUUUUUUUGCCAUAAUUUAUGACAUCAUCGAUCAUAUUACAUCAUUGCUUACCUCAUCGUCCGAUGACAUCAUCGCUUACAUCAUAGGAAUUCAAAUUCAAUUUGUUCUCUUCCACCUCAUUUUACUUUAAUACCAUAAAUUUACUAUAAUAAUGUUACCAUUCAAAUUAUAAAAAACGUAUUAUUAUAUAAUCACAUCAUACUACUAUAAUGUAAUAUUAUAAUAAUAUAUUUGAAUGAAUUAUUUUAUCGAAAAAGAUAAAAUACCAACAUUCAACAAAUGUCACAUGCUAAAAUUUCUCACUUUAAAUCCACAUUGAAUAAAUAUUUUCUUAUCAUACAUAUCAACAAUUAAUUAUUCAUAAAUAAUAUUACAAAAUUACAAUAUCGACAACCAGGUCGUUCCCAGGAAAGAGGGAGCUUUCCGAUAAGGAUUUCUCCCUAUUAGCGCGCAAUUAGGUGACCAAACUCCUUUCCUCGACAAAACUUUCUAGACAUUGACAAUAAUGCAAAUAAUAAUAUUAUUCAAAUAAUAUGAAUUAUUGAUUUGAUAAUUUGAAAUAAUAUGCAAUGACAAUUAUUGAAUCAAUAAUAUAAAAUAUCAACGUAGCAAUUAUUGAAUCAAUAAAAUAAAAUAUUGAACAUUAAUUACUGUAACAAUUAUUGAGUAGUGACUUCUUACGUAAGCAUCAAUAAUUCAAGAUACUGUAGCCACGCGUACUACUGUACUUUUACCACCGGGUAUUUCAACACUUAACGGUAAAACUUUCGGCGUUUAUUUUAUAAAAUAAUAUUUCUGUCGUUUUCUAACUCCGACAAUAAUUCUGUUGUGGGGUCCACCAAUGAUCGUGCAGUCGUACGGAUAUUCCCCGACAAAAAGAAUAUUCCCCGACCAAACGAAUAUUUUAUAACAACUUGCUUACUUUGCAAAAUUUAUAAAUAUUACCCACAACUAUAACAUUAUAUCAAAUCCAUACCAUAAUAUUCAAAAUGAUAUUUAGAGAAAAAAAAUCUUUAUUCAUAAAAGUUGGGGUCUUACACUUCUACUUUUGCCAAACAUGUGUUCUCAAACAAAAAUUGAAGUUAGAAAGAAAUAAGAAUAAAAAAGAAAAUAUACCGAUAAAUAGUACAUCAUGUUCCAAGAGAAGUAAAAACUUCUAAAUUUAGCAAGCUUGCUAAGAAUCAAUUCAACCUACAAGAUAUUAUAAAAAAUUUGCUCAAACUUAUAUCGCAUUAGUACAAUAUCAUUCAAACAACAAUUUCUAAUUUAAAUAAUACAUUUGCUACUGAAAUUUCUUCAUGCUUGUAAAUAUCAAUAUUGAUCCAAUUUCAAGAAGCUGAAUCUCCCAUCUUUUACCUCGCCUUCAGCUUACGUGGCUUGUGAGUUGUACAUUACAAAAAUUCACUCAACCUUUCCAAACCACACUCUAUGCCUUACAUUUAUAGUAAGUUCUACAUUACAAAAUUUUCACUUGGUACAACCCAUAUAGAGACAUACAAAGAAAUAUCAAUACAUAUUUCAAAAGGGUGGCCCAAGUGUAAAAUUAUCUCUCAACAAAAGUACAAAAUAAACUAGAAUAUUAAAUACAAAAUAUAACAAAUACACUAAAUAGAUACACGAAAAAACUCAUUCAAAAUUCAUAUCACAAUAAGUAGGACAUCAACCACCAACGAAACAUAAUAACAACACAUCCAAACAUAUAUAACAAAAUAAAAAAAUAACAUAAAAAAAUUAUAAUCACAUUCAUCAACGAAACAUUACAUUCAAAACAAAUAUUACAAUAUUCCGAAAAAACAUCACAAUUACAAAAAAAAUAACACAUAUAACACAUUCAUCAAGCAAGACCAAUACAAAAAAUUACAAUAUUCCAAAAAAAGUUUAAUAACUAUCGGUAAACAUAUAUAACACAUUUUAUAUAAUAUAUAUUUAUAUAAUAUAUAUAUAUGGGAACUGAUCCGUGGACAACGUUAGCUAUUGUCCCUAUUUCAACUAACGCUCAUCCAGCCGUCCAAAAUUGGAGUUAAUGGCUGAGAUGAGCGCCCAGCCGCUAGGGGGAGUAGCGGCCAGCAAAAAAAAAAUUUGGCUUAAUUACUGAUUAUCCUAAUUAUUCUCGUAAAAUAAAAUAAAAUAAUAAAUAAUUAUAAGGAUAAUCAGUAAUUAUCUUUAUACUUAUCCUUAUACUUAUUAACAAAAUAAGUAUGUAUAAGAAUAAUGACUGAUUAUUGUUUUAUGAUUUUUAAUUAUAAAUAGAAAAUAGUGAUUGAGUUUAUAUAUUUGAGUAGGAAUAUAAUAUAAAUUCAAUCACUAUUUUCUAUUUAUAAUUAAAAAUCAUAAGAUGAUAAUCAGUAAUUAUUCUUAUACAUAAGAUUGAAUUUAUAUUAUAUUCAUACUCAAAUAUAUAAAUUCAAUCUUAUGUAUAAGGAUAAUUACUGAUUAUCAUCUUAUGAUUUUUAAUUAUAAAUAGAAAAUAGUGAUUGAAUUUAUAUUAUAUUCCUACUCAAAUAUAUAAACUCAAUCACUAUUUUCUAUUUAUAAUUAAAAAUCAUAAAACAAUAAUCAGUAAUUAUUCUUAUACAUACUUAUUUUGUUAAUAAGUAUAAGGAUAAGUAUAAAGAUAAUUACUGAUUAUCCUUAUAAUUAUUUAUUAUUUUAUUUUAUUUUACGAGAAUAAUUAGGAUAAUCAGUAAUUAAGCCAAAUUUUUUUUUUUGCUGGCCGCUACUCCCUCUAGCGGCUGGGUGCUCAUCUCAGCCACUAACUCUAAUUUUGGACGGCUAGAUGAGCGUUAGUUGAAAUAGGGACAAUAGCUAACGUUGUCCAUGGAUCAGUUCCCUAUAUAUAUAUAUAUAUAUAUAUAUAUAUAUAUAUAUAUAUAUAUAUAUAUAUAUAUAUAAUAUAAUGUGUAUNNNNNNNNNNNNNNNNNNNNNNNNNNNNNNNNNNNNNNNNNNNNNNNNNNNNNNNNNNNNNNNNNNNNNNNNNNNNNNNNNNNNNNNNNNNNNNNNNNNNGUGUAUCUAUACAUACAUAUGUAUAUUACGUAUAUAAUAUAAUAUAUAUUAUACUCUUAUACAGAUAUAUAUGUAUACAUACACAUGUAUAUUAUGUAUAUUACAUAAUAAUAUAAUAUAAAUAUAUCACUUUCCUAAAUAUUUAGAACCUAUAAAACGAGCCAUCUUCUACGCCUAUACCUACUUACGGCUCUUUUUCUACUUAAAUCUAUCACAAAAUUCAAAUCCCACUACAUUCUUACUACCUCCCUUUUCUCUUCAAGAAAGGCUGCUACUUUUGUCAAACCUGUGUUCUCAAACAAAGAUUGAAGUUAGAAAGAAAUAAGAAUAAAAAAAAUAUAUAUCGAUAAAUAGUACCUCAUGUUAUAAGAGAAGUAAAAACUUCUAAAUUUAGCAAGUUUGCUAAGAAUCAAUACAACCUGCAAAAUAUUAUAAAAAUUUUGUUCAAACUUAUAGCGCAUUAGUACAAUAUCAUUCAAACAACAUUUUCUAAUUUAAAUAAUACCUUUGCUACUGAAAUUUCUUCAUGCUUGUAAAUAUCAAUAUUAAUCCAAUUUCAAGAAGCUGAAUCUCCCAUCUAUUACCCUCGUCUUCAGCUUACAUGGCUUGUGAGUUGUACAUUAUGAAAAUUCACUCAACAUUUCCAAACCACACCCUAUGCCUUACAUUUAUAGUAAGUUCUACAUUACAAAAUUUUCACUUGGCACAACCCAUCUAAAG